UACGGAGGGUGCGAGCGUUGUCCGGAAUCACUGGGCGUAAAGGGCGCGUAGGCGGCCUGAUAAGUAGGGGGUGAAAUCCUGCGGCUUAACCGCAGGGCUGCCUUCUAAACUGUCAGGCUAGAGCACAGUAGAGGCAGGUGGAAUUCCCGGUGUAGCGGUGGAAUGCGUAGAGAUCGGGAAGGACAUCAGUGGCGAAGGCGGCCUGCUGGGCUGUUGCUGACGCUGAGGCGCGACAGCGUGGGGAGCAAACAGG
rnacentral:rRNA from 1 species